CACGACCAUUUCUGCCGAGCAGUUCUCGACACAGACUGAACGAUAGGCAGAUGGUAACCUACUGCGCGUCGGUAACAGACCCCUGGCCUUUUUAAAAUGGCGGAUCGACAGUAACGUAGCCAGUAGUCACGGGGCCAGGGUGCCAAUACUAAGAUGGCAGCACCACACGGAACUUCUUUCGGAUCAUUCCAUUCCGGAUGUUGGUUAAAACGAUACAAAUUGGAGGAUACACAAAGUUCAUAACGAGGUUCUAUGUGGAAGAGUGUUUAGCUCCUAUUGUACAGUCUUUAUAUUAGAAGCAUAUUCCAAGAUAAAGACGAUCUUUCGACUCUGAAGCUUUACAUGCGAAGACCGAGUAAAUGAUGCGCUAUUAACGGACGGUAUGUACCGUCUGACUUGCUGUAUGUUUAACUGGAAAGAUGGAGCGGACGAAAACACUACUGCUUGCUUGAGGUUCACGUGAUCAUAACCUCAUUGGUCCGCUGUAUCGACGCGCCGAUUAGCCCAGGGACGAACAGUAGCGGAUCCGUCGGGAUGGAACGUGAAUAGACUUAACAAACGGUUAGAGAACCGUUUGCAGAGCUUUCAUUUUACAAAACUGCUCGUAAUAUUGGUAAUAGCACAAUAAAGGAUGUACAAAUACAAAGUAUUCUUAGAUUAUUCUUCUCCCUAGAAGCAUCCAAUCACUAAAC